rnacentral:rRNA from 1 species
GUGGGGAAUAUUGGGCAAUGGGCGCAAGCCUGACCCAGCAACGCCGCGUGAAGGAAGAAGGCUUUCGGGUUGUAAACUUCUUUUGUCAGGGACGAAACAAUGACGGUACUUGACGAAUAAGCCACGGCUAACUACGUGCCAGCAGCCGCGGUAAUACGUAGGUGGCAAGCGUUAUCCGGAUUUACUGGGUGUAAAGGGCGUGUAGGCGGGACUACAAGUCAGAUGUGAAAACCAGAGGCUCAACCUCUGGCCUGCAUUUGAAACUGCAGUUCUUGAGUGCUGGAGAGGCAAUCGGAAUUCCGUGUGUAGCGGUGAAAUGCGUAGAUAUACGGAGGAACACCAGUGGCGAAGGCGGAUUGCUGGACAGUAACUGACGCUGAGGCGCGAAAGCGUGGGGAGCAAACAGGAUUAGAAACCCCUGUAGUCC